AGCUCCAAUAGCGUAUAUUAAAGUUGUUGCAGUUAAAAAGCUCGUAGUUGGAUUUCGGGAUGGGCCAGUUGGUCCGCCGCAAGGUGUGUUACUGACUGGUCUGUUCUUCUUCGCAAAGACUGCGUGUGCUCUUCGUUGAGUGUGCGUAGGAUUUACGACGUUUACUUUGAAAAAAUUAGAGUGUUCAAAGCAGGCUAUCGCUUGAAUACAUGAGCAUGGAAUAAUGGAAUAGGACUUCGUUUUUUCCUAUUUUGUUGGUUUCUCGGAACGAAGUAAUGAUUAAGAGGGACAGUUGGGGGCAUCCGUAUUUCGUUGUCAGAGGUGAAAUUCUUGGAUUUACGAAAGACGAACAACUGCGAAAGCACUUGCCAAGAGUGUUUUCAUUAAUCAAGAACGAAAG
rnacentral:rRNA from 1 species